AUUGAACGCUGGCGGCAGGCCUAACACAUGCAAGUCGAGCGAGCGGCGGACGGGUGAGUAAUGUCUGGGAAACUGCCUGAUGGAGGGGGAUAACUACUGGAAACGGUAGCUAAUAACGCAUACCAUCAGAUGUGCCCAGAUGGGAUUAGCUAGGAGGUGGGGUAACGGCUCACCUAGGCGCCGAUCACUAGCUGGUCGGAGAGGAUGUCCAGCCACACUGGGACUGAGACAGGGUCCAGACUCCUACGGGAGGCAGCAGUGGGGAAUAUUGCACAAGGGGCGCAAGCCUGAUGCAGCCAUGCCGCGUGUGUGAAGAAGGCCUUCGGGUUGUAAAGCACUUUCAGCGGGGAGGCGUUACCCGCAGAAGAAGCACCGGCUAACUCCGUGCCAGCAGCCGCGGUAAUAC
rnacentral:rRNA from 1 species